rnacentral:rRNA from 1 species
CCUACGGGAGGCUGCAGUGGGGAAUAUUGGACAAUGGGCGAAAGCCUGAUCCAGCAAUGCCGCGUGAAUGAUGAAGGCCUUAGGGUUGUAAAGUUCUUUUAGUAGGGAAGCGGUACCUACAGAAAAAGCUCCGGCUAACUUCGUGCCAGCAGCCGCGGUAAUACGAAGGGAGCUAGCGUUGUUCGGAAUUACUGGGCGUAAAGAGCGCGUAGGCGGUCUGUAAAGUUAGGAGUGAAAGCCCAAGGCUUAACCUUGGAACUGCUCUUAAAACUCACAGACUAGAGAUUGGUAGAGGAUGGUGGAAUUCCUAGUGUAGAGGUGAAAUUCGUAGAUAUUAGGAGGAACACCGGUGGCGAAGGCGGCCAUCUGGGCCAAACUGACGCUGAGGCGCGAAAGCGUGGGGAGCAAACAGGAUUAGAUACCCCAGUAGUC